rnacentral:rRNA from 1 species
UUGCCCUACGGGAGGCAGCAGUGGGGAAUAUUGCACAAUGGGGGAAACCCUGAUGCAGCAACGCCGCGUGAAGGAAGACGGUUUUCGGAUUGUAAACUUCUGUUCUUAGUGAAGAAGAAUGACGGUAGCUAAGGAGCAAGCCACGGCUAACUACGUGCCAGCAGCCGCGGUAAUACGGAGGAUGCGAGCGUUAUCCGGAUUUAUUGGGUUUAAAGGGUGCGCAGGCGGCGUGUCAAGUCAGCGGUAAAAUGUCGGGGCUCAACCCCGGCCGGCCGUUGAAACUGGCGGGCUCGAGUUGGAGAGAA